rnacentral:lncRNA from 1 species
AAAACAACAGUGAUAUAAAGAAGGACAACGAUUCAAAUGUAACUUAAUUAAUAAUGAUUAUUGUUAUGAUGUCAAAAACUUACAUAUAUACAGAUAACUUGUCUGAUUCUUGCACAGAACAUAGAAAAACAUUCGACGAGGAAAGACUUAUACUAAGUCUCUCCCACUCCCUCAGUCCCUCUUCUGUCUUCUCCCUUCUCUGGCGGUCAGUUUUUUUUGCCUCGUUUUUCCGGCGACAACCCUUUACACGUGCUAGAUCCGAGAGGAAUUCUCUUUCUUCUUUACAGAGAAGUAAAAUUUAUUUG